GAUGAAGAACGCAGCAAAAUGCGAUACUUGGUGUGAAUUGCAGAAUCCCGUGAACCAUCGAGUUUUUGAACGCAAGUUGCGCCCGAAGCCUUUUGGCCGAGGGCACGUCUGCCUGGGCGUCACGCAUCGCGUCGCCUCCCACAAUUCUCCGUAAAGGGAACAUGUGUUUUGGGGGCGGAUAUUGGUCUCCCGUGCUCAUGGCGUGGUUGGCCGAAAUAGGAGUCCUUUCGAUGGACGCACGAACUAGUGGUGGUCGUAAAAACCCUCGUCUUUUGUUUCGUGCUGUUGCUCGCAAGGUAAACUCUUUAAAAACCCCAAUGUGUCGUCUCUUGACGACGCUUCGACCGCGACCCCAGGUCAGGCGGGACUACCCGCUGAGUUUAAGCAUAUCAAUAAGCGGAGGA
rnacentral:misc_RNA from 1 species